UACGUAGGGUGCAAGCGUUAAUCGGAAUUACUGGGCGUAAAGCGUGCGCAGGCGGUUGUGCAAGACAGAUGUGAAAUCCCCGGGCUCAACCUGGGAAUUGCAUUUGCGACUGCACGGCUAGAGUGUGUCAGAGGGGGGGUAGAAUUCCACGUGUAGCAGUGAAAUGCGUAGAGAUGUGGAGGAAUACCGAUGGCGAAGGCAGCCCCCCUGGGAUAACACUGACGCUCAUGCACGAAAGCGUGGGGAGCAAACAGG
rnacentral:rRNA from 1 species